CGGCCUGAAAUGAUGUUCUGGGUUCAUGUCUCUUCUCUGAGAUGUCUUGUGGAGACAGCCAGAUGCAUUUCUGAUCAGGCUU
ensembl:snoRNA